rnacentral:rRNA from 1 species
UACGAAGGGGGCUAGCGUUGUUCGGAUUUACUGGGCGUAAAGCGCACGUAGGCGGAUCGAUCAGUCAGGGGUGAAAUCCCAGAGCUCAACUCUGGAACUGCCUUUGAUACUGUCGAUCUGGAGUAUGGAAGAGGUGAGUGGAAUUCCGAGUGUAGAGGUGAAAUUCGUAGAUAUUCGGAGGAACACCAGUGGCGAAGGCGGCUCACUGGUCCGUUACUGACGCUGAGGAGCGAAAGCGUGGGGAGCGAACAGG